GCAAAUAUCAAAAUAUCUUCAUUGAAUAAUAACAAACCAACAAAAAGAAAACCAGUCCUUUCAUAAGAAAGAGAAUGAAAAAUAACCAUUGAAUUAUUUUCGACAAAUAAGAGAUUUUUUUGUAAUUCGAGUUUUUUGGAAAUGCAAAGUUAAGAAAAAAGGGUAGCAAUGGAAGUAUUUCGGUCAGAGGGUCUCUCUUGGGCUGAUCAAUGGGAUCCUGAAUCCCCCCCUCCUCCUCGUGAAGAUGACAAGAAGAAACGCAAAGAUGCUUCCAAAAACAAGUUUCUCAAAUGGUUUAAGAGCAUUGGCAAGAAGUCCAAUAAAAGUGAUAAAAAAUAGACAUGGCCAACAAUAUUUGUUCUCCUAAAUGUCUCUGAGUAAGGCAGGUUCCACAACUGUAUAUAUCAUAUGCACUACGUCAUUUCCCUAUAUAUGUUAUGUAUUUAUUAAUCUACACUUCUGCAGACAUUGAUUGAUUCAAUAAGUUAAAUCAAUAUGUUUGUCAUAUGUGAUAUGCCAAAAAGAAUAAAGUGCAUAGGAUUCUGAUCAUGUUUGCUAUUGAAAUUACUAAAUACGCCAACAAGAAUAAAGUGCAUAUGAUUCUGAUCAUGCUUGCUAUUGCAAUUACUAAGUCAUAUACUCCCUCCGUUAAAAACAAAUGAGUUACUUUCCUUUUUAAUCCGUUUAAAAAGAAUGAUAUCUUUUCUUUUUUUAUCAACUUUUUAAUUUUAACUUUCCACAUGACAUGUUUAAAACCACAAGAUUGAAUGAUAUUUUGGUACAUUUGACAUAUCUUUAAUUUAACACUAUAAGAUUCAAAAGUUUCUUUAUUUUCUAAAACUUCGUGUCAAGUCAAACUAGAUACUUCUUUUUUAAACGGAGGGAGUAACAUUUUUGUCGCAACUUGUUGUAUCUUUUUCUUUCGACUCGAGAAUUAAUAUAUCGAUAAUAACAUAUGAAUCUGGCCAUGGAUCCAGAAUUCAAAUUUACAAAUUUACAUCAGUUAAAUCUUUGAAAAUUUAAAAUUGAACUCAUUCUUUGUUAAAAGUAUGAACAAAUAAUUUUAAUAUUUAGAACUUUUAGAAGUAUUUAUUUCUAUAUUGAGAGUAUUGGGUUCAAUUAAACCUGUAUAUCAGAAGUUCCAUUUGCCUUGGAUAUGGUCAAUUGAUGUAAGGGUAUGUGCGUUAAUUGCUAAAGUCUGAAUUUAUCAUCGUAAUUUAAAUUGGAAGAAAAUUUCUGAAUUAUAUCAAGAAUGUUUAUUAUCAUCGUGUUAGUGAUGUCACA
rnacentral:lncRNA from 1 species